CCUGAUGCAGCAACGCCGCGUGAACGAUGAAGGUCUUCGGAUCGUAAAGUUCUGUUGCAGGGGAAGAUAAUGACGGUACCCUGUGAGGAAGCCCCGGCUAACUACGUGCCAGCAGCCGCGGUAAUACGUGAGGGGGCUAGCGUUAUCCGGAUUUACUGGGCGUAAAGGGUGCGUAGGUGGUCCUUCAAGUCGGUGGUUAAAGGCUACGGCUCAACCGUAGUAAGCCGCCGAAACUGGAGGACUUGAGUGCAGGAGAGGAAAGUGGAAUUCCCAGUGUAGCGGUGAAAUGCGUAGAUAUUGGGAGGAACACCAGUAGCGAAGGCGGCUUUCUGGACUGCAACUGACACUGAGGCACGAAAGCGUGGGUAGCAAACAGGAUUAGAUACCCUGGUAGUCCACGCUGUAAACGAUGAGUACUAGGUGUCGGGGGUUACCCCCCUCGGUGCCGCAGCUAACGCAUUAAGUACUCCGCCUGGGGAGUACGCACGCAAGUGUGAAACUCAAAGGAAUUGACGGGGACCCGCACAAGUAGCGGAGCAUGUGGUUUAAUUCGAAGCAACGCGAAGAACCUACCU
rnacentral:rRNA from 1 species